rnacentral:sRNA from 1 species
ACGGUUUGAUAUACAGACCAUAAAGCAGUUUAGUUAAGCAGUGUCCUUCAAGAGUACUCCAUUUGAUACCCUUCGUUGAGAGCUUUUCCUUUAACGCUUCAAAAUCUGUAAUGCACGCCAUAUUGCCGAAAGGCACUCAUAUAUCUUUUAAAGGUAAUCGCUAUGUCCGGUAAAAUGACUGGUAUCGUAAAAUGGUUCAACGCUGAUAAAGGCUUUGGUUUCAUCACUCCUGACGAUGGCUCAAAAGACGUGUUCGUACACUUCUCUGCUAUCCAGAACCAGGGUUACAAAUCUCUGGACGAAGGUCAGAAAGUGUCCUUCACCAUCGAAAGCGGCGCUAAAGGCCCGGCAGCUGGCAACGUAACCAGCCUGUAAGCUUAAACAGCUCAGAAUUCGAAUCCUCGCCUCGGCGGGGAUUUUU